GAAGUGGGAGGGGCCCAAGGCCAGAGCAGUAGGGAACAGCAGGGAGGGGAAACAUGCCACGGGGCAGCAGGGGACAGGCCGGGUCACUGGGAGUGUGUGACAGAGAUUUUGUUUUGCAGGGCGUUUGUAAUUCCUGACACAAGACAGGUUGGGUGUGGGAAAAUUAAUAACAGCAGUCUCUCACCCUGGAAUCUGUUGAAUUCAGUGGUGGGAGGCUAUUUGGCCCCCGGGGUUGGGUGGGGAGCAAGGCUGGAGCUUGAGAUGUCUCAGGGCCUGUGGGGUAGGGGGUGGUCUGUAGACCUUGUGGGGAGUUGGGCUCAGCUGGAGGGUGUGCAGGGUGGGCCUGGGAGCCAGGGCAGGUGUAGUUUUAGGAUGGGAGCCACUGGAACAGGUUCCAAAGCUCCUGGGCACAGAAGGUGUGCAGGGUGGGCCUGGGAGCCAGGGCAGGUGUAGUUUUAGGAUGGGAGCCACUGGAACAGGUUCCAAAGCUCCUGGGCACAGAAGGUGGGGAGGGUGGGGCUGUUAACUGCCUCCCACACCCCCCACUUGGAAUAAAACCCAGGCUCAGAGCCCGAGGUACCUGGCCGAACCCUUACAACUGCAAGCUCAUUCUGCCCCAGGGCCUUUGAAUUGGCUGUGUCCCCAAGCCGGGGUGGGGGUGGGGUGCGCUCCUCCUCCCAGCCUGGUAUAGUCCUCUCCAGGGCUCAAGCCCUGCUCAACUCUCAGCUCCUCAAAGGGGCUUGGCUGUGGAGCCCCACCCACCCAUGCCCUGUUCUGCCCCAGCUCCUAGAAUGACUUUGCAUGUUCCUCUAAAUGUUUAACAUCUCUCUUCCUCUCGAAUGUUUGCUCCACCAGGGCGGGGACCUUAUCAUCUUUAAGUAACACUAAACUUGGCCUGGCACACAGCAGGGGGUGAGCAGGCACCCUUGGGUGAGGGGACCUGGGCUCUGGACUGUCCUGCCCUGUGGCCACGGGUCCCCCCAGACCUCUGGAAUUGGAGUCUCCCAGGACAAGCUAAAAGUGCAGAUUUCAAGGCCCCACCUCGGCCUCAGGGAGCACGUGGGGGUAAAACCUGCGU
rnacentral:lncRNA from 1 species